GCAUUGAUUAGCUCAGUCAGCAGAGCAUUAAACUAUUAAUCUCAGGGUCGUAGGUUUGAGCCCCACAUUGGGCA